rnacentral:piRNA from 1 species
UAAGGUUGGCGGGAGACAGUA